rnacentral:rRNA from 1 species
GUCUACGGCCACGCCACCCUGAACAAGUCCAAUUCCGGAAGCGAAGCAGGGACAGGGCUGGUUAGUACUUGGAUGGGAGACCACCUAGGAAGACCAGGUGCUGUAGGCA